CUUCAUCUCCUCUUUGAGACGAUUCUUCUUCUCCUUCGGCCUCCUUUGAUCUCUUUCUGAUCUCUCAUCUUCUCCGAUCACGCAUCUUCUCCGAUCACGCAUCUUCUCCUUCCGACUUUCAUUCACGAAAUUUGGACCUCAUCUUCUUUCAUUCCCCUCUCAAAUUUUAGAAACUCGUUGUCAUCUCUUCCGUUCUCUCUGUCGCUCUCUUCUGCUCACCAUCUCUCUCUUUCGUUGUCUAUCACGCCACGACUGAUAGACUGUAUACUCGCACACCGACGACCGAUAGACUAGUACAAAAACCCUUAUCUCCCUUCUUCACACAAAAACCCUUAACAUUUGGUCCUUUGGUUCUCAAUUUUUUUUCCACACUCGCCGAAGCAAAAAUGUUAUCUGGGUUUUCACAGGAACUGGCCAGAAUGUACUCCGCUAUUUCGGCACUGCCGGUGGACGGCGGUGGGGGUAAGUUUCAGGGUUCUUUAGAUGGAACGAAUCUUCCCGGUGAUGCUUGUUUGGUUCUCACGUCAGAUCCGAAGGCACGCCUCCGUUGGACGGCAGAGCUUCAUGAACGACACGUUGACGCUGUCACUCAGCUUGGUGGCAAAGACUAUUUUGAAUGUUUGAGAGAAAAAGUUUGAAGGAAGCCGUUAGAAAAUUGGAGGCACAAAAAUUUUCAAGCUUGGAAAGGUAAUUCCAUCCUUGUUAAGUCAUCUUCAAGAUGGUUAAAUAUAAGUUUUCUUCAUUUUUUUUCUCAAUUAACUUUUAUUGGGUCCUUACUUGUUGUGCAGUGUACUUUUAUAUUAUUGUUUUGUAAAUUUUGGUAGUAGCGAAUCAAAAUUACCAUUUUGUGUAUAUUGCUCCUGAGGUGUUGCUUAAGAAAGAGUAUGGUGAAAAGGUAAAUGUUAUAGUAUAAUUAUAUAUAUAUACAUGUGUAUCAAUAUGCCCAUUCUAUCUUGUGAUUUGUUUUAAGGUUGAGAUUAUUUCUCUUUUUUGGGUCUACCAAUGAUGCAUUUUAGAUUGCAGAUGUGUGGUCGUGUGGGGUGACCUUAUAUGUUCUUUGGUUUGUUAUUUAUUUGUUAUAAUUAAUAGCAAAAUUAGAUAUUGUUAUUGGCUACAUAUGUUUCCUCUGUGCUCCUAAAAAAUGGUUGAUUUGUUCUUCAUGUUGACAACAAGAUAUUGCUUUGCAAUAGGAGCUAACUCAACAACGCCUUUGUCCAUUCCCUAAGGUACCGUAACUCAAAAAUGCAUUUUAACUUUUUUCUGGUUUUUUAAACCUAUAUUGAUGGUUUUGUGAAAUAUAUUGAUGGUUUUAUGAAAUAUAUUGUUGGCUAUGUGAUAAAACAUUUUGGUAGCUUACAAUGUGUUUGAUGAAAUGCCUCAAUGAAGCCUUUGGUUGAUUUUUAAUUGAUUUUUGUUUGUUUGAAUUAGAAAAUCAAGGCCAAGGGAGAUUGCAUGGCUAUGGGAGGAAGUUUUGAGAAAAAGAGAAUGAAAAAUGAAUGGUUGAACUCAACCAAGUGAUGAGUUUAUUUUGUAGCUUGAACUCAACCAAACGUGCCAUUUGUUUGCAUAUAUAUCGUGCCUGAGACAGAAGAUUAUUGAUAUGAGGCUGAUGUUAUACCUCAAGAAGAUCAGAUUAAAAAUUCUUACAGUUUUUCCAGAAUCCAUUGGAGCAGCGAAGCCAUAUUUGCGGCAAUUCAUUGAUGUAUAGGCUUUUUUGUAGGUUUGGUAGGAAAAUUUCUGGUUUAAAUGUAGUUAUUUAAAUAGCUUGUUCGUAACAAAUAAUAUAUGUACCAACACUUAAAGCAAUAUUAUAAAGUGUAUGUUUCUUUAUA